UCCCUGGUGGCUCAGAUGGUAAAAGUGUUUGCUUACAGUGCAGAAGACCUGGGUUCGAUCCCUGGGUUGGGAA
rnacentral:tRNA from 1 species